GACAGAGGUGGCAAGCGUUGUUCGGAUUCAUUGGGUGUAAAGGGUUCGUAGGUGGUCAAGUAAGUCUGACGUGAAAUCCCAUGGCUCAACCGUGGAACUGCGUUGGAAACUGCAUGACUUGAGUACCGCAGAGGUAAAGGGAAUUCCCGGUGUAAGGGUGAAAUCUGUAGAUAUCGGGAGGAACACCAGUGGCGAAGGCGCUUUACUGGGCGGUAACUGACACUGAGGAACGAAAGCAAGGGGAGCAAACAGG
rnacentral:rRNA from 1 species